GAUGAAGAACGCAGCGAAAUGCGAUAAGUAAUGUGAAUUGCAGAAUUCAGUGAAUCAUCGAAUCUUUGAACGCACAUUGCGCCCGCCAGUAUUCUGGCGGGCAUGCCUGUUCGAGCGUCAUUUCAACCCUCAGGCCCCCAGUGCCUGGUGUUGGGGAUCUGCCCAGCCUUCCUGUAAGGCCGCCGGCCCCGAAAUCUAGUGGCGGUCUCGCUGUAGUCCUCCUCUGCGUAGUAGCACAACCUCGCAGUUGGAACGCGGCGGUGGCCAUGCCGUUAAACACCCCACUUCUGAAAGUUGACCUCGGAUCAGGUAGGAAUACCCGCUGAACUUAAGCAUAUCAAUAAGCGGAGGA
rnacentral:misc_RNA from 1 species